UCUUAGUGCUCUUUUAUGUCUUUUUCCUUUGCCACUCAGAUCAGAAAUUGCGUGGAGGGAUGCAAAAUAUGCUCAAAUAUAUGAGUACCUUCGGGAAGAGUACGAGGUCACCCAGCGCUUUGGGAAUCUAGAUUUCAAAUUGAAGUUUGUGGAGCAUAACAUUCAUUUUCUUCAAGAAGUCCUCCAGAAUAGGAAAUCAGAUCUCUUGGAAUGGUGCAUCAUUGGCCUAUUGAGCAUUGAAAACAUUAUAUCAUUAUAUGAGAUUGUUAAGGAUUCAACUCCCAUGCAACUCUGAUUUGCCAGCGUCGCGGAUGCAAUUUUUGAUCUGCAAUUAGUAAAGUCUAAUUUUGUUUUUUGUUGUACUAAUUAUUUUAUCAUAAAGAUAAUAAUCUGAUUUUCUUAUAUUUUUAUUUGAUCCUCCAGCUCUCCAUAUUACAUUAUGCUCAUGUUGUCUUACAUUAUUGCAUUAUAUAUAUAGAUGCGCAUAAACAUACAACUAUUGUAACUCGAACAAAAUUCAGUUGGAGAAAUUCAUUACUAUUUUACCUUCUAGUUUUCUUUUAUGUAAAUAACUAUUGAAAAGUUUCCUAAA